AAUCCAUAGGUUAAUGAGGCGAACCGGGGGAACUGAAACAUCUAAGUACCCCGAGGAAAAGAAAUCAACCGAGAUUCCCCCAGUAGCGGCGAGCGAACGGGGAGGAGCCCAGAGCCUGAAUCAGCAUGUGUGUUAGUGGAAGCGUCUGGAAAGGCGCGCGAUACAGGGUGACAGCCCCGUACACAAAAGCGCAUGUGCUGUGAGCUCGAUGAGUAGGGCGGGACACGUGGUAUCCUGUCUGAAUAUGGGGGGACCAUCCUCCAAGGCUAAAUACUCCUGACUGACCGAUAGUGAACCAGUACCGUGAGGGAAAGGCGAAAAGAACCCCGGCGAGGGGAGUGAAAAAGAACCUGAAACCGUGUACGUACAAGCAGUGGGAGCACCCUUUGGGGUGUGACUGCGUACCUUUUGUAUAAUGGGUCAGCGACUUAUAUUCUGUAGCAAGGUUAACCGAAUAGGGGAGCCGGAGGGAAACCGAGUCUUAAUUGGGCGUUAAGUUGCAGGGUAUAGACCCGAAACCCGGUGAUCUAGCCAUGGGCAGGUUGAAGGUUGGGUAACACUAACUGGAGGACCGAACCGACUAAUGUUGAAAAAUUAGCGGAUGACCUGUGGCUGGGGGUGAAAGGCCAAUCAAACCGGGAGAUAGCUGGUUCUCCCCGAAAGCUAUUUAGGUAGCG
rnacentral:rRNA from 1 species